AGCAGCCGCGGUAAUUCCAGCUCCAAUAGCGUAUAUUAAAGUUGUUGCAGUUAAAAAGCUCGUAGUUGAAUUUCGGGAUUAGCAGGUCGGUCGUGCCACUGGUACGUACUGGUCUUGCUGAUUCCUCCCUCUUGACGAGCCGUAAUGCCAUUAAUUUGGUGUUGCGGGGAAUCAGGACUGUUACUUUGAAAAAAUUAGAGUGUUUAAAGCAGGCUCGCGCUUGAAUACAUUAGCAUGGAAUAAUGAAAUAGGACGUUUGAUUCUAUUUUGUUGGUUUCUAGGAUCGACGUAAUGAUUAAUAGGGAUAGUUGGGGGCAUUAGUAUUCAAUUGUCAGAGGUGAAAUUCUUGGAUUUAUUGAAGACUAACUACUGCGAAAGCAUUUGCCAAGGAUGUUUUCAUUAAUCAAGAACGAAAGUUAGGGGAUCGAAGACGAUCAGAUACCGUCGUAGUCUUAACCAUAAACUAUGCCGACUAGGGAUCGGAUGAUGUUAAUUUUUUAAUGACUCAUUCGGCGCCUUACG
rnacentral:rRNA from 1 species